rnacentral:lncRNA from 1 species
GGACAGGUAGUUUGAUGAAUAAUGCCAUGUUGGUUGAAGAAAGAAAUACCAGCAAUACUAGACCCCAAUUCCAAAGCAUUAUCACUUCUGAUAGUUUGUACAGUAGCAUUAAAUUGAGUCGUAACCAUACACAAAAAGGACUUAAGAAGGCCGAAAGCAUUGCUUUUAGACCCCAGUAAAUGUGCCGAGGUUGCUCUAGAAAAAUCAUCAACUAUAGUAAGAAAGUACCUUGAGCCAGAAGAGGUGGGUGNNNNNNNNNNNNNNNNNNNNNNNNNNNNNNNNNNNNNNNNNNNNNNNNNNNNNNNNNNNNNNNNNNNNAGCCAGAAGAGGUGGGUGUGUGAUAAGGGCCCCAAGUGUCUACAUGAAUCAGUUGGAAAGGUCUACAGGUACUGAUUGAACUGUCAGGAAAAGAAAGUCUAGUUUGCCUAGUCAUGGGACAAAUAGAACAAGGAAAUGGUUGUUUGGAAGCAAAAGUAAAAGACAAAGCAGAAAUGUGUUUCAUGCUUGCAAAUGGAAUAUGAGCCAGUCUUAAAUGCCAAAUGUAAUUCAUGUCAUUUGCAUCAGUUUUAUUAUUACAAAUGGAACUAUUUACAUUGGAAUUCAAAACAACAGAUUUAAGGUUAGAAGAACAAACAGGAGUACAAGAAUCAGAAAUGGAGCAUACAGAAGUAGAGGAACAACAAUUAACAGAAGAAGGUGAAGAGGGCACCCAAGUAAAUUUGUACAGGCCAGCCUCCUAUUUACCAAGAUCCAGAGGCAUCUUCAAAGAAGGGGCCUGUAACAUGUGAAGGAAACAGGAAGUUGCAGUAAACAUGUCAAUACAGUGCAACUGCUUUACUAGUUUAUGGACAUAAAUUAAAUUGUGUUUGAAAGAGGCAACAAACAGUACAUUAUGAAGAGUGAUGGAGGGAGUUAAAGCAAAAGAUCCUGUGGAAGUCACUUUUACUUUAUAUCCAUUAGGAAGGGUUACAAGAUAAGGCACAAGUAAAGGUGUGAUAUUAAAGAGUAAGUUCUUAUUAGAUGUCAUAUGAUCAGAAGUCCCUAAAUCUAUUAUCCAAGAGACAGAAGUAAUAUUAGUAAGUAGACAGAGUUUGGAAUCAGAAACAGGGCUCUCAGUAGUACCAGCAAAGUUGGAAGCACACAUAGGAGGAGAGGUCUGAGCAGGAGAAAUCUGAGCAGUGGAGUCACCCAAUUUGGACUGUUGCAGCAGAUUCAUCAAUUGGUCAUAAUGUUGCCUGCUCAAUCCAGGGAUUACAGAACCAUGUCCAUCCACAUGUGGGACAGAUGAAUGACACUCAAUGUGAUUUCCAGAAGCAUGAGAAGUGUGGCCAUCAGAAGAAGGGAAGGAGGUGAAAUCAAUACCAGUGGUUACAUGGGCAGCAGUAGGUCUCUUCCCUUUGUUAAACCUGAUGCUUUGAGGAAAUCCAUGAAGUUUGUAACACUUUACUAGUGGUUACAUGGGCAGCAGUAGUUCUCUUCCCUUUGUUAAACUUGAUGCUUUGAGGAAAUCCAUGAAGUUUGUAACACUUAUCAAUUAAGUGCCCAGACUUCUUGCAAUAUCUACAGAAGAUAGGUCCUCUGGAUUGAUCAAUAGUAACUCUCUGGGCAUACUGUCUGAGAGGAGAAGAGUUGGGCAAUGCAACUUGACUGAAAGAAGGUGUAGAAGUUUUGUGUGUGUUGACACUGAAGGACAUAGAGUCAGGAUUGAAAUGAGAAAUAGACUGAACUUGUCUUUGUUUUUCAUCAUUGAGAAGAAUGUUAUAGACACUGUCAAGACUAGGAGGAGGCUGCAUCAUCAGCAAGUUGCUCCUUACCCCCAUAUGUCUCAUUAAGGCCCAUGAGGAAUUGAAACACCUUAUUCUCCUCAUCCUCCUUUAUGAUGCCAGGUUUGGCAGCACAAAUACAUCUUUGACCAUGAUUUGUGCAUACUACCCCUAACUCAUCCCAUAACCCUUUGAGUUUGUUAAAAUAGGAUGCUAUAUCUAGAGAUCCUUGGCAUCUUUGGCCAUGAUUUGUACAUACUGCUCCUCGCUCAUCCCAUAACCCUUUAAGUUUGUUAAAAUAGGAUGCUAUAUCUAGAGGUCCUUGAGAGGAAUGAGAGAGUUCUCUUUUAAGUUCGAAAAUUUUGGUCCUAUUGGUUGUGCCAUAUCUGGCUUCGAGUUGUGCCCAUAUACUAUGUGCCGUCUCAGAAUAUUGCACACUCUCAGCUAUUUGAGGAGAUAGAGAUGCAGUCAACCAGGAAAUUACCAUAUUAUUGCAUCUGUCCCAUAAUUUCUGUUCAGCCAAGUUAGUAUUUGGUCUAGGACAGGUACCAUCAACAAAACCAAUUUUGUUCUUAGCGGACAAGGCAACUAUCAUCUUACUCUUCCAACCCUCAUAACCACUACCCGAAAAAGGAAUAGGAACAAGGGAAACACCAGGAACAUCAGAAGAGUAAACAAAGAGAUGGCUUGUAGGGUCAAUAGAUGAGGGAUUAAUAGGGUUCAUAUUUGUCAUCAGAAACAGGACAACAAUGAUGAGAAGAAAUUGAUUCAAUACUUGUGAACUACACGAUACAACAUAUUUUCCAGCAAAAAAAACACAUGCAAGCUCUAAUCGAGAGUGAAAAAUAGGGCUACCUGACUUCUACACUACCGGAGAAGAACGACCUUCAAAAGUUCAGAGAAAACCCUAGCUUUGUUCAGUCUGAAACAGUCGGAAUCAAACACGAAAGGUGUCGGAAGUUCACCCUAAACACCACGCUUGAAGGAGCAACAACAAUCCACAAGAAACUGAAAUCAUCUCUGAUUCCACCAACAAAUCGAAAAAAUCCAGAAUCACCACCAACAAAUCGAAAAAUCCAAAAAUCACUACCGAUAAUUCAAUAAAGUUGAACCAGAAAAACCGAGAAGAGAAAGGAUACAUCCGAGAAGGAGAACCAUACUCUGAUACCAUGUAAACAUGGAGAAUAAGAUAUGGAGAAGAGAGAGAGAAGUCAUCUCUUUCUGAAUUGAUAAAAAUGAACAAAU